GACGAACGCUGGCGGCGUGCUUAACACAUGCAAGUCGAACGGUAAGGCCCUUUCGGGGGUCCACGAGUGGCGAACGGGUGAGUAACACGUGGGUGAUAUGCCCUGCACUUUGGGAUAAGCCUGGGAAACUGGGUCUAAUACCGGAUAGGACUACGCGAUGCAUGUCGUGUGGUGGAAAGCUUUUGCGGUGUGGGAUGGGCCCGCGGCCUAUCAGCUUGUUGGUGGGGUGAUGGCCUACCAGGGCGACGACGGGUAGCCGGCCUGGGAGGGUGUCCGGCCACACUGGGACUGAGAUACGGCCCAGACUCCUACGGGAGGCAGCAGUGGGGAAUAUUGCACAAUGGGCGCAAGCCUGAUGCAGCGACGCCGCGUGGGGGAUGACGGCCUUCGGGUUGUAAACCCCUUUCAGCACAGACGAAGCGUAAGUGACGGUAUGUGCAGAAGAAGCACCGGCCAACUACGUG
rnacentral:rRNA from 1 species